rnacentral:rRNA from 1 species
AGCUCCAAUAGCGUAUAUUAAAGUUGUUGCAGUUAAAAAGCUCGUAGUUGGAUUUCUGGUUUGAUGCCCUGGCCCGCUUCGAUUUCGUUGUGAGUGCCGGUUGUGCGUCUGCCAUCCUUCUGGAAAACGUCUCUACCCUUCACUGGGCCGGAUUCGCGAUCCAGAUCUUUUACUUUGAAAAAAUUAGAGUGUUUAAAGCAGGCUUUUGCUAUGAAUACAUUAGCAUGGAAUAAUAAUCUAGGACUUCGGUUCUAUUUUGUUGGUUUCUAGUACUGAAGUAAUGAUUGAUAGGGAUAGUUGGGGGUGCUAGUAUUGAGCGGCCAGAGGUGAAAUUCUUGGAUUCGCUCAAGACUAACUUAUGCGAAAGCAUUCACCAAGGAUGUCUUCU